rnacentral:rRNA from 1 species
GUCCUUUUGAGUAUAAUUUAAGGUCUAACCUGCCCACUGAUUAAUUAAAUGGCCGCGGUAUUUUGACCGUGCAAAGGUAGCAUAAUCAUUAGUUUUUUAAUUGAAAACUGGAAUGAAUGGUUGAAUAAGAAAAUAACUGUCUCAAAUUAAUUUAUUUAGAAUUUUAUUUUUAAGUUAAAAAGCUUAAAUUAAAUUUAAAGACGAGAAGACCCUAUAGAGUUUAAUAUUAUGUUUUUAUAAAAUUAUAAGAUUAAAAUUUUUUAUAUUUUAUAUAAUAUUUAGUUGGGGUGAUUGAAAAAUUUAAAUAACUUUUUUUAUAUUAAAACAUUAAUAUAUGAAUAUAUGAUCCAUUAUUUAUGAUUAAAAGAUAAAAUUACCUUAGGGAUAACAGCGUAAUUUUUUUUGAGAGUUCUUAUCGAAAAAAGAGAUUGCGACCUCGAUGUUGGAUUAAAAUUAAUAUUUGGCGUAGAAGUUAAAUUAUUAGGUCUGUUCGACCUUUAAAAUUUUACA